ACGAACGCUGGCGGCAGGCCUAACACAUGCAAGUCGAACGCGUGUAGCAAUACACGAGUGGCGCACGGGUGAGUAACACGUGGGAACCAACCCAGAGGUUCGGAAUAACCGCGGGAAACUGCGGCUAAUACCGGAUGUCCCCCAUGGGGGAAAGAUUUAUCGCCUCUGGACGGGCCCGCGUCCGAUUAGCUAGUUGGUGAGGUAAUGGCUCACCAAGGCAACGAUCGGUAGCUGGUCUGAGAGGAUGACCAGCCACACUGGAACUGAGAUACGGUCCAGACUCCUACGGGAGGCAGCAGUGGGGAAUAUUGGGCAAUGGAGGCAACUCUGACCCAGCCAUGCCGCGUGGGUGACGAAGGUCUUCGGAUUGUAAAGCCCUUUCGGCGGGACGAUGAUGACGGUACCCGCAGAAGAAGCCCCGGCUAACUUCGUGCCAGCAGCCGCGGUAAUU
rnacentral:rRNA from 1 species